rnacentral:rRNA from 1 species
UACGUAGGGCGCAAGCGUUAUCCGGAAUUAUUGGGCGUAAAGAGCUCGUAGGCGGUCUGUCACGUCGGCUGUGAAAACCCGGGGCUCAACCCCGGGCCUGCAGUCGAUACGGGCAGACUAGAGUGCGGUAGGAGAGACUGGAAUUCCUGGUGUAGCGGUGAAAUGCGCAGAUAUCAGGAGGAACACCGGUGGCGAAGGCGGGUCUCUGGGCCGUAACUGACGCUGAGGAGCGAAAGCGUGGGGAGCGAACAGG